rnacentral:ncRNA from 2 species
AGCAGCCGCGGUAAUUCCAGCUCCAAUAGCGUAUAUUAAAGUUGUUGCAGUUAAAAAGCUCGUAGUUGAAUUUCGAGAUCAAAUUGUUGGUCGUGCCUUGGUACGCACUGGCAUUAUUGGUUUCUCCCUUCUGACGAACCAUGAUGUCAUUAAUUUGGUGUCUUGGGGAAUCAGGACUGUUACUUUGAAAAAAUUUAGAGUGUUUAAAGCAGGCUCACGCUUGAAUACAUUAGCAUGGAAUAAUGAAAUAGGACGUUUGAUUCUAUUUUGUUGGUUUCUAGGAUCGACGUAAUGAUUAAUAGGGAUAGUUGGGGGCAUUAGUAUUCAAUUGUCAGAGGUGAAAUUCUUGGAUUUAUUGAAGACUAACUACUGCGAAAGCAUUUGCCAAGGAUGUUUUCAUUAAUCAAGAACGAAAGUUAGGGGAUCGAAGACGAUCAGAUACCGUCGUAGUCUUAACCAUAAACUAUGCCGACUAGGGAUCGGAUGAUGUUAAUUUUUUUAAUGACUCAUUCGGCGCCUU